ACUACCACCUGGAGGCCUCCAAGCUCCCCAGGGAAGGUGGGUUAACAUGGAUAGAGGGCUCCAGCCCCAGCCAAGGUCUCGGCCAACAGCCAACAUAAACCGUUAGACCACUCGGAGGGCUACCUCAUCAGAAAGCCUCCAACACUCUCUCUGCAGCACCGGGACGGGGUGGGCCCCUGCAGCCCUGUUUAGCCCAUGAACGUUCCUGACUCGGAUUCUUAAUCCUGGAAGGGAUUCGAAAGGUCACCUGAACAAAGCAAAGGCCCAGUGGCCGAGGUGGUUAGGCCAGCGGGCUGGAAACCAGGACGCCAGGCUCCAAACGCAGCUCCUUCCGGAAACACCGGAGCAGGCCAUCCCCUACCCCCACGGCCCCAGACACAAUAUGUCCAACUAAAUCUGCCCCAAAAGGGCCGCCUGGGGACCGUGAAGGCAGCCCGGGGAGAAGGCCCACCUUGCUCUGCUCUCCAUGGAUAGACGGCACUCAUGGAGACGGACAGUGGCUUACCGUGUAGUUUAAAACAUUAUGACAAAACACCGAGAAAACAUUAUUUUUCUCCAAAACAAAAUGCGGAGCUGAGGGGAUACUUUUAACUUGAUAUUUCCCCUCCGUUUGGAAGACCUGGGAUAGAGACAGAGAGAGGCUGCCUCAAACUGUUUGAAAAUGACUGUCUCCCAUCUGGACCCAAGAUAAAGUGAAGUAGAAGAAAACAGGGAAAGACUUUUUGCCACUAGUCUUCCUAUUGUGUUGGAACUCGUGUCUAGGAAGCCUGUUUCCCCCUUGACUCAGACUCUGUGUCACUUAAAUUCCACCUCCAGCAUGCUGGCACCCAAAUCCAUCCGCUAAGGCGGUGUCCUCAAAUGCUUCUGAUUGUUUAAGCAAAAGAAAUCAAAUACACACCCAUUA